UACGGAGGGAGCUAGCGUUGUUCGGAAAUACUGGGCGUAAAGCGCACGUAGGCGGCGCAGCAAGUCAGGGGUGAAAUCCCGGGGCUCAACCCCGGAACUGCCCUUGAAACUGCAGUGCUAGAAUUCUGGAGAGGCGAGUGGAAUUCCGAGUGUAGAGGUGAAAUUCGUAGAUAUUCGGAAGAACACCAGUGGCGAAGGCAACUCGCUGGACAGACAUUGACGCUGAGGUGCGAAAGCGUGGGGAGCAAACAGG
rnacentral:rRNA from 1 species